CCGGUGGGGGCGGAGGCCGCCGCGGGUGUUGGCUUUGAAGGAGAGAGGGCUGAGCCUGAGAACUGCCUGCGGCGUCUGCGUUAAGCAGUGAGGCGCCCUCACGUAUGCGCGUACUGUGUCAUCCGCCGCAGGCGUCAGAGCUCUGGACGUUUUGAGUUCAGGAGCCUGGGAAGUCUGAGAUCAAGGUGGCAGCAGACUUGGUGUCUGGAUCUCAGAGGCUUCUGGGACUAGAGUCUUGUCAUGCCUUCCACCUAACACCAACUCUAUAGAAAUAUGAUUUCAUUACCACAACUAAGUGGCCUCAUAUCAGGUGAGAGAAAGACCAGCUAGACCAGAGAAAGCUGCCUGACCCCCUUGAGUCCAUCACUGAAGACUGGAACUCACAAACCUGUGCUCCCCUGUUUUUUUUUUUUAGGGGAACAGUAAUUGCUACCUGGAAGUGGGAUUCAGCUGUAACAAAAUCCUAAACCCUAAAAUGCAGAAGUAACUUUGGAACUGGACAGUGGAUUUGGGGGAGAGUGUUAGUGAAAGCCUAAACUUGAAGAAACCGUUAAUAGAAACAUCGUGAUCUUUGAUAUGGCUGCAGUUUCACAGGGGAAGAAGAAGUGUACUCUAGGAGCUGUACUUAAGGAACUACACCCAAGGAGCCUCAGCUGCAUCUGGACCUGCUUUAGAUGAUAAGAUGUUAGACUUCAAGCUGAUGCUAUAAUGAAAUAAGGCUUUUGGUGACUUUGGAAGGAAGUGAGCAUAUUUUGCAUGUGGGAAGGACCUGAAUCAUUUGGGACCUGAGGAUGGAUUGUGUUUGCCAGCCUCCCAAAGAUAGCCCUGAAUUAUCCUUGCCUCCUAUUAUUCACACCCUUGUGUAGGCGCCUCCUGCACUCUGUCAUACUUGGUCUGUGUGACCGACAUCAUGUAGCAGAAAUGACGAUAUGUUACUUCUGAGAUUAGGUUAUUAAAAAGACUGCAGCUUCCAUUCUGGUAUCUCUAUCUCUUGGAUAACUCCCUAUUAGAGAAGCAAGCUGCCAUGUUGUAGGUAGCUGUAAGGAGAAGGCCACCUGGAAGACUACUGAAGACUCUGGCCAAUGGUCAGCUAGGAACUAUACCGUGCCAACAAGCAUGUGAGUGAACUUGGAAAUGACUUUUUCAGCCCUACGCUAGCCAUGAGAUGACUGCAGCCCCAGCCAACAUCUUGACUGCGAUCUCAUGAGAGUUCCUGAGGCAGAAACACCUGGCUAAGUCACUCUCAGGUUACUAAACCUUAGGAACUGUGUGAGAUAAUAAAAUGUUUGUUUUAAGCUCUAAA